UAUGUCUCCGUACGGGGAAGGAUGAGAAGCUUCGACUAAGGUUCGAUUCGAGCGAAAGCGAGAGAA
rnacentral:sRNA from 1 species